AUUGAACGCUGGCGGCAUGCUUUACACAUGCAAGUCGAACGGUAACAGGCCUUCGGGCGCUGACGAGUGGCGAACGGGUGAGUAAUGCAUCGGAACGUGCCCAGUCGUGGGGGAUAACGCAGCGAAAGCUGUGCUAAUACCGCAUACGAUCUGUGGAUGAAAGCGGGGGACCUUCGGGCCUCGCGCGAUUGGAGCGGCCGAUGUCAGAUUAGGUAGUUGGUGGGGUAAAGGCCCACCAAGCCGACGAUCUGUAGCUGGUCUGAGAGGACGACCAGCCACACUGGGACUGAGACACGGCCCAGACUCCUACGGGAGGCAGCAGUGGGGAAUUUUGGACAAUGGGCGCAAGCCUGAUCCAGCAAUGCCGCGUGCAGGAAGAAGGCCUUCGGGUUGUAAACUGCUUUUGUCAGGGAAGAAACGGUGGGGGCUAAUAUCUCCUGCUAAUGACGGUACCUGAAGAAUAAGCACCGGCUAACUACGUGCCAGCCGCCGCCGUAA
rnacentral:rRNA from 1 species